rnacentral:lncRNA from 1 species
CACACCCAUCACUGUGCGGUGACGGCAAUGGGGCCACGCGGAGCGCUAUGGGGUCACAUGGAGUGCUAUGGGGUAAUAUGGAGGGCUAUGGGGACACACGGAGCGCUAUGGGGUAAUAUGGAGCGCUAUGGGGUAAUAUGGAGUGCUAUGUUGUAAUAUGGAGCGCUAUGGGGUAAUAUGGAGUGCUAUGGGGUUAUAUGGAGCGCUAUGGGGUAAUAUGGAAUGCUAUGGGGUUAUAUGGAAUGCUGUGGGGUAAUAUGGAAUGCUAUGGGGGCACAUGGAGUGCUAUGGGGUUAUAUGGAGCGCUAUGGGGUUAUAUGGAGCGCUAUGGGGUAAUAUGGAGCGCUAUGGGGUAAUAUGGAGUGCUAUGUUGUAAUAUGGAGCGCUAUGGGGUAAUAUGGAGUGCUAUGGGGUUAUAUGGAGCGCUAUGGGGUAAUAUGGAGUGCUAUGGGGGCACAUGGAGUGCUAUGGGGUAAUAUGGAGGGCUAUGGGGACACACGGAGCGCUAUGGGGUAAUAUGGAGCGCUAUGGGGCCACAUGGAGUGCUAUGGGGUAACAUGGAGCUCUAUGGGGUAAUAUGGAGCGCUAUGGGGUAAUAUGGAGCGCUAUGGGGUAAUAUGGAGUGCUAUGGGGCCACACAGAGCUCUAUGGGGUAAUAUGGAGCGCUAUGGGGUAAUAUGGAGCGCUAUGGGGCCACAAGGAGUGCUGUGGGGCAACGUGGAGCUCUAUGGGGUUAUAUGGAGCGCUAUGGGGGCACAUGGAGUGCUGUGGGGCAACAAUGAGUGCUAUGGGGUGAUAUGGAGUGCUAUGGGGUCACAUGGAGUCCUAUGGGGUAAUAUGGAGCGCUAUGGGGUUAUAUGGACCGCUAUGGAGCCAUAUGGAGCGCUAUGGGGUAAUAUGGAGUGCUAUGGGGCCACAUGGAGUGCUAUGGGGUAAUAUGGAGUGCUAUGGGGUAAUAUGGAGCGCUAUGGGGUAAUAUGGAGAGCUAUGGGGUUAUAUGGAGCGCUAUGGGGUAAUAUGGAGUGCUAUGGUGUAAUAUGGAGCGCUAUGGGGUAAUAUGGAGUGCUAUGGGGUUAUAUGGAGCGCUAUGGGGGCACAUGGAGUGCUAUGGGGUAAUAUGGAGCGCUAUGGGGUAACAUGGAGUGCUAUGGGGGCACACAGAGCGCUAUGGGGCAAUAUGGAGCGCUAUGGGGUAAUAUGGAGCGCUAUGGGGUAAUAUGGAGCGCUAUGGGGUUAUAUGGAGCGCUAUGGGGUAAUCUGGAGAGCUAUGGGGUAAUAUGGAGCGCUAUGGGGCCACAUGGAGUUCAAUGGGGCAGCACCGGCCCCAUAGCAGCCCCUUCCCCAUACCGGCACCCCACCCUAUGGCACCCCCCUGCCCCAUAGCAGCAUCUGACCCACAGCAGCCCCUGCCCCACAGCAGCACUCCACCCCAUAGCGCCACCCCAUGGCACCAUCUGCCCCAUUGCAGCCCCUGCCCCAUAGCAGCAACCCACCCCAUGGCACCACCCUAUGGCAUCACCUGCCCCAUAGCAGCAUCUGACCCACAGCAGCCCCUGCCCCACAGCAGUACCCCACCCCAUGGCACCACCCUAUGGCACCACCUGCCCCACAGCUGCACCAGCCCCACAGCAGCAGCCCACCCCAUAGCGCCACCCCAUGGCACCACCUGCCCCAUAGCAGCAUCUGACCCACAGCAGCAGCCCACCCCAUGGCACCACCCUAUGGCACCACCUGCCCUAUAGCUGCAUCGGCCCCACAGCAGCAGCCCACCCCAUGGCACCACCCUAUGGCACCACCUGCCCCAUAGCAGCCUCUGACCCACAGUAGCCCCUGCCC